rnacentral:rRNA from 1 species
GAUGAACGCUGGCGGCGUGCCUAAUACAUGCAAGUCGAGCGAACAGACGAGGAGCUUGCUCCUCUGACGUUAGCGGCGGACGGGUGAGUAACACGUGGAUAACCUACCUAUAAGACUGGGAUAACUUCGGGAAACCGGAGCUAAUGCCGGAUAAUAUAUUGAACCGCAUGGUUCAAUAGUGAAAGACGGUUUUGCUGUCACUUAUAGAUGGAUCCGCGCCGCAUUAGCUAGUUGUUAAGGUAACGGCUUACCAAGGCAACGAUGAGUAGCCGACCUGAGAGGGUGAUCGGCCAAACUGGAACUGAGACACGGUCCAGACUCCUACGGGAGGCAGCAGUAGGGAAUCUUCCGCAAAGGGCGAAAGCUUGACGGAGCAACGCGGCGUGAGUGAUGAAGGUCUUCGGAUCGUAAAACUCUGUUAUUAGGGAAGAACAAAUGUGUAAGUAACUAUGCACGUCUUGACGGUACCUAAUCAGAAAGCCACGGCUAACUACGUG